UUCCGUAGGUGAACCUGCGGAGGGAUCAUUACAGAGUUGCAAAACUCCCUAAACCAUUGUGAACGUUACCUAUACCGUUGCUUCGGCGGGCGGCCCCGGGGUUUACCCCCCGGGCGCCCCUGGGCCCCACCGCGGGCGCCCGCCGGAGGUCACCAAACUCUUGAUAAUUUAUGGCCUCUCUGAGUCUUCUGUACUGAAUAAGUCAAAACUUUCAACAACGGAUCUCUUGGUUCUGGCAUCGAUGAAGAACGCAGCGAAAUGCGAUAAGUAAUGUGAAUUGCAGAAUUCAGUGAAUCAUCGAAUCUUUGAACGCACAUUGCGCCCGCCAGCAUUCUGGCGGGCAUGCCUGUUCGAGCGUCAUUUCAACCAUCAAGCCCCCGGGCUUGUGUUGGGGACCUGCGGCUGCCGCAGGCCCUGAAAAGCAGUGGCGGGCUCGCUGUCGCACCGAGCGUAGUAGCAUACAUCUCGCUCUGGUCGCGCCGCGGGUUCCGGCCGUUAAACCACCUUUUAACCCAAGGUUGACCUCGGAUCAGGUAGGAAGACCCGCUGAACUUAAGCAUAUCAAUAAGCGGAGGAA
rnacentral:rRNA from 1 species